rnacentral:rRNA from 1 species
UACGAAGGGGGCUAGCGUUGCUCGGAAUCACUGGGCGUAAAGGGUGCGUAGGCGGGUCUUUUAAGUCAGGGGUGAAAUCCUGGAGCUCAACUCCAGAACUGCCUUUGAUACUGAGGAUCUUGAGUUCGGGAGAGGUGAGUGGAACUGCGAGUGUAGAGGUGAAAAUUCGUAGAUAUUCGCAAGAACACCAGUGGCGAAGGCGGCUCACUGGCCCGAUACUGACGCUGAGGCACGAAAAGCGUGGGGGAGCAAACAGGGAUUA